rnacentral:tRNA from 1 species
GCCGGGGUAGCUCAGUGGUAGAGCAAAAGACUGAAAAUCUUUGUGUCGGCAGUUCGAUUCUGCCUCCCGGCACCA